CGUUGGAACUGAGACACGGUCCAAACUCCUACGGGAGGCAGCAGUGAGGAAUAUUGGUCAAUGGACGAGAGUCUGAACCAGCCAAGUAGCGUGAAGGAUGAAGGUUCUAUGGAUUGUAAACUUCUUUUAUACGGGAAUAAACGAAUCCACGCGUGGGUUUUUGCAUGUACCGUAUGAAUAAGGAUCGGCUAACUCCGUGCCAGCAGCCGCGGUAAUACGGAGGAUCCGAGCGUUAUCCGGAUUUAUUGGGUUUAAAGGGAGCGUAGAUGGGUUGUUAAGUCAGUUGUGAAAGUUUGCGGCUCAACCGUAAAAUUGCAAUUGAUACUGGCAGUCUUGAGUACAGUUGAGGUAGGCGGAAUUCGUGGUGUAGCGGUGAAAUGCUUAGAUAUCACGAAGAACUCCGAUUGCGAAGGCAGCUUACUAACCUGUAACUGACAUUGAUGCUCGAAAGUGUGGGUAUCAAACAGGAUUAGAUACCCUGGUAGUCCACACGGUAAACGAUGAAUACUCGCUGUAGGCGAUAUACGGUCUGCGGC
rnacentral:rRNA from 1 species